rnacentral:lncRNA from 1 species
UACAGUCACAAACAAAUAUACAAAUACAAAACAUACAUAAACAUACAUACAUACACACACACACAAACACACACAUAUAUAUAUAUAUAAAUAUAUAUUACUGGGGAUGAAAUUUCUAGAGAUUUAUACAUAAACCUCAGAUUUAGAUAUAGAAGUAGUUUAGUAGUCUGAAGUAUUUGAUUUAAAGAAAAAACACACUUAGCCUAUAUCCCAUGAAGUUGUAAACACGAUGUCUUUAGUGUCACGUUGUCACUGUUGUUUCUUCCUUCUGUUGUACUAAGAUUUAUUGCAGGAAGUGGGUGGGCUCCAUCAUAAAAAAGAUAAUCAGAUACGUAAUAGAUUUAAAUUCCACUGGCCAAAGUCUUGUUCAGAAACUACACAUUAGAAAAUCCUCCCUCGACAUGUUACUCUAUUCUAUCUCUAUAUAUAUAUAUAUAUAUCUUUGAGAUCAUGCCGCAGUUAAACUUCAAGGAUUGUAUUUUAUCUUAUUCUAUAGCUGAGGUAUCGUAUAAUUUUCUUUUUCUUGAGAAUUAAAUAUAUAUGUAUAUAUAAAAAAAGGGAUACAUUAUCACAAUUGAGCACAAAUCCAGUAAUUAAAAUUUUUUAAUUUACGAUGUGAUAAAAGAAGAAAAAAAGCUUAUUUUCCAAAUGGAGAAAUCAAAUUGUAAAGUACUCAUUUUUGUGGUUCUUUCAUAGAAAUUUAUGUAAUAGAAUUAUAGAAAGAAUAUUAAUCACAGUACUCAUAUGUUAUUUGUGCUAAAGAUCAACCAUAUACUAUUGUUCCAACUACUCGUACUUGUUACAAAAAAUAUUGUUGAAUAUUACCGUUAUAUAAAAUAUUGUAUUACUUCUGGUCCUUUAUUUCCUCUAAGGCAACAAUAUGGGGUUCUCUCUCCUUCCUACGGCAUGACCGGGUAUCUAUGAUAGAAUAUCACUUGCAAAGUACCUGCUACAAAUUCAUCUUCUGUAGAUACCAUCAUGUUCUGUGUGUGUAUAUCGAGAUAUAUAUAUGCCAACCAUUAUCAUCACAUGAACUUAAGUUUUUUUUUUAUUUUUUGUUUCAUUUCUCAGACCAGCCGCUAGAAGUUAUCAUGGUGAGCUUUGCUAUAACCAAUUUUUUGUUGUAAAAAAUAAUAAUUGGCAGGGUUUAGCUGUCUCAGGCAAAGUGAGUGUAUAAGUUGUGUAUUUAUUCUGAUGAUGGAAAAUAAAUUGUGAUAAAAGAUAAUCUUUGGGUACAAAAGAAAAACGACUAUAAUUAAAAUAAAGACAAAUGCCUUAAAAUUCGAGAAUGUUUCGGGUAACAGGUUGUCGUUGUAAUAUAUGUGUACCUUUUAGAGUUAGUACUAACAAUAUAGUGUACAAUGGAAAAGUGUGAGUGAAAGAUAUAUAAAAUGUAUGUUUUAUGAGGCUUCCCUCCUCCGUAAAUAGAGAAAUUAUUGGAUUAUAUAGGUGAAGAGAUCGGAAGAGCGU